rnacentral:lncRNA from 1 species
GCGGGGUGGGGGCUGGACUGGGGGAAGGGCGAGGGCGAGUUGUGGCGUCUCUGAAGCCAAUAGCUGGGCCAUGAAGAUGAUCUUGGCUGUGGAGAGCCAGAAGGGCCAGGUGCGCCUGAGCUCCUGGAGUAACUGCAUAUUCUCUGACCCCUUGUACCAGACCCCAGAUGAGGAUGUCGGGAUGAUACACAAAGCUGCGUCCAGGGGAACGCGUGGGAGCUGCAGCGGAGGCUCCCGCUGAAGAGAAAAGACCAGUCUGAAAUCUACAAGAACAGAGAAUUAUUCCAAAUCAAUAUGAAAAUACCUCUAAAACUGGGCAAAGUACCUUUUCCAGCUCUGCAAGUCACCUAUGCACAUAGGAAAAAAUACUUAAUGUGUCUGAUAAGAGAAGGAAUUUAAUUUAAAAAAGGAAUGAAAUGCCGUUUUCUAUCCUAAGUUUGUGAGGAUGAGGAGCAGUGAUAUUUACACUUCUGCUUAAAGUUAAGUUGCUGAUGACUUUUCAAAAAGACAAUUUGGUGGAUGGCUCCACAUUUGGCCUGUGCCAAUGGCUGCCCAGAAGUGGUAACUUUUCUGGUGCACAGAAAAUGCCAGCUUAACAUCCGUGACAGUGAAAACAAGACACCUCUAACGAAGGCUAUAACAUGCCAAGAAGAUGUGAAACUAUUCUGCUAGACCUUGGUGCUGAUCCAAAUAUUACCGAUGUCUAUGGCAACACUGCUCUCCAUAUGCUCUCUAUAAUGAGAAUAUGUCAAUGGUAGCAAAACUGUUUUCACACAAGACAAACAUCAAAGUGAAAAACAAUGUAGAGCAACCAACGUUAUUUUCAAAAUAUUUGAAAUCCACUUGUUUUAACAUUGACAUAUGUAAGGGUCAGUUUUUCCUAUUUGGAAGCUUAAGCAAUCCCUGAAU